rnacentral:rRNA from 1 species
UCUCCUGGAAACGGGUGGUAAUGCCGGAUGCUCCAUCACACCGCAUGGUGUGUUGGGAAAGCCUUUGCGGCAUGGGAUGGGGUCGCGUCCUAUCAGCUUGAUGGCGGGGUAACGGCCCACCAUGGCUUCGACGGGUAGCCGGCCUGAGAGGGCGACCGGCCACAUUGGGACUGAGAUACGGCCCAGACUCCUACGGGAGGCAGCAGUGGGGAAUAUUGCACAAUGGGCGCAAGCCUGAUGCAGCGACGCCGCGUGAGGGAUGGAGGCCUUCGGGUUGUAAACCUCUUUUGUUAGGGAGCAAGGCAUUUUGUGUUGAGUGUACCUUUCGAAUAAGCACCGGCUAACUACGUGCCAGCAGCCGCGGUAAUACGUAGGGUGCAAGCGUUAUCCGGAAUUAUUGGGCGUAAAGGGCUCGUAGGCGGUUCGUCGCGUCCGGUGUGAAAGUCCAUCGCUUAACGGUGGAUUCGCGCCGGGUACGGGCGGGCUUGAGUGCGGUAGGGGAGACUGGAAUUCCCGGUGUAACGGUGGAAUGUGUAGAUAUC